GGAAAAUUAAAAAAAAAAUUUGUGAUUCUUUAAGCAUAAUGUAUCAUAUUUUCAGUAAGUAUAAGUUAGAAAUUAGAACUAUUUUUAGUACUCAGAUGAAUUCAACUUUGAGGGAUUUGAGAGGUAUUCAUAUUUUUGUAGGGAAAACACAAAAGAUGGUAUAUCCAAAUCCUUCUGUUGCUAUCUUUCCCUGUCAACUAUCAAGAGUGUCUGGUAUUGAGAGUUCAAAUACAUUAAUAUCCUAUUUAAAGGAACUGGGUCCAAAGGUUUUGUCCAUUAAAGAGUGUCUCUCUUAAGGGAAGUUCAAUUGUAUGUGCUAUACACAGAAAAAAUAAUAUUUAAUAUUUCAGUUUCAUAGAAGAAAUAUUGUCCAAUUAUAGAUUUAUUUGCU
rnacentral:lncRNA from 1 species